UACGUAGGUGACCAGCGUUGUUCGGAAUUACUGGGCGUAAAGGGCUCGUAGGCGGCCAACUAAGUCGGAUGUGAAAUCCCCAGGCUUAACCUGGGAACUGCAUCCGAUACUGGAUGGCUUGAAUCCGGGAGAGGGAUGCAGAAUUCCAGGUGUAGCGGUGAAAUGCGUAGAUAUCAGGAGGAACACCGGUGGCGAAGGCGGGUCUCUGGGCAGUAACUGACGCUGAGGAGCGAAAGCGUGGGGAGCGAACAGG
rnacentral:rRNA from 1 species